rfam:Macleaya cordata isolate BLH2017 scaffold8117, whole genome shotgun sequence.
UACUAAAAGAAAAGCACAUAUACCUAACAAGAUUAAGUGAAUAUUCAAAAUUGUAGUCAUUUUAUUUCUCUUUCGA